GAUGAACGCUGGCGGCGUGCCUAAUACAUGCAAGUCGAGCGAAUGGAUUAAGAGCUUGCUCUUAUGAAGUUAGCGGCGGACGGGUGAGUAACACGUGGGUAACCUGCCCAUAAGACUGGGAUAACUCCGGGAAACCGGGGCUAAUACCGGAUAACAUUUUGAACCGCAUGGUUCGAAAUUGAAAGGCGGCUUCGGCUGUCACUUAUGGAUGGACCCGCGUCGCAUUAGCUAGUUGGUGAGGUAACGGCUCACCAAGGCAACGAUGCGUAGCCGACCUGGGAGGGUGAUCGGCCACACUGGGACUGAGACACGGCCCAGACUCCUACGGGAGGCAGCAGUAGGGAAUCUUCCGCAAUGGACGAAAGUCUGACGGAGCAACGCCGCGUGAGUGAUGAAGGCUUUCGGGUCGUAAAACUCUGUUGUUAGGGAAGAACAGGUGCUAGUUGAAUAAGCUGGCACCUUGACGGUACCUAACCAGAAAGCCACGGCUAACUACGUGCCAGCAGCCGCCGCGG
rnacentral:rRNA from 1 species